UUGUAUUUUUUUUGGCUCUUUCAGUUACGAUUACAGAUCAAUGUAUGUUUUUGCAAGUUCCCCCACUGCCUUUCUUUUGUUGAAGGUUUGAGGUUUUCCUUGCAUCAUUUUUAGUUGCUAAAUUUGUAUUUCAAGCAAAUGUUGAUGGUUACAAGUGCAAUUGUGGAACGUCCUUUAGUUAAAUUAGCUCUCAAUUUUUGUUUAAUAAGUUCAAGCAGCAUGUAACUUUAUAAACAUGAUAAAAGAAUUCCAGGAUUGUGUGAUUUAGUCAAACUUUCCAUUCAAGAUUAGCAAAAGAUCUCCAAUUUGUGACUGAGUUUUUAUCAACCAAGCAAAUUUCGUUAAUCAUUAAUCUCAAAAGUUGUACAUUAACUACAUAUCGAAUUUCUUUUGGGAUUUUUCUAUAGAGGUUGAAGUGUUUUUUCUUAUCAGUUCUGCAAUCCUAAUCAAUUUUGCAUUUCUUCUUGUUUAAUUUAAUUUCCUCUUAGAAGUGUUUUAUCUGUUGCCAGCUUUUCUCUAUUGAACUUCUUGGUCUGUCCAAUUUUUCUCUUUCCCUUUUAUGGGUUCUUUACUAUUAAUAGUUUUUCUAGUGCUUUUGUUAUGGAUAUGUGUUUGAUUUGUGCUUUUCUGAUCUUUCUUUGAACCAAAAUCUGGUUGUUGACAGGAAAAGAUAAAAUGAAACCCGAAAUAUGUAAUAGAAUUUGCUCUCUUGUUUAUAUAUACGCCUGCAAAACAAAAAUCAAUCUAAUAGUCAAUGAUUUUGCCGCAGUUUUGUCUUUGGCAUACAAUACUUAAAUGCUCUCCCUAUACAAGGUUUAAUUCUCAAUAUUCUUGCUCCUUGCAGUCAUUGCUAUUUGCUAUAGGAUUGUGACCUACUUCUGCACAGGCGACUGCUGCAAGCUGGUUAAGAUUGCUAAUGAUAUUUAUUUGGUAUGAACAUGUAGAACUUUACCCUCUUAACGUUUGGUGUUAUUAUCAAUUUCCCCCUUAACGUUAUUUUUUAGUCACUUUACCCCCAAAACUAAC
rnacentral:lncRNA from 1 species